UAAGGAAUAUUGGACAAUGGGCGCAAGCCUGAUCCAGCAAUGCCGCGUGCAGGAUGAAGGCCUUCGGGUUGUAAACUGCUUUUGUACGGAGCGAAAAGGUCUGCCCUAAUACGGUGGGCUCAUGACGGUACCGUAAGAAUAAGCACCGGCUAACUACGUGCCAGCAGCCGCGGUAAUACGUAGGGUGCGAGCGUUAAUCGGAAUUACUGGGCGUAAAGCGUGCGCAGGCGGUUAAAUAAGACAGAUGUGAAAUCCCCGGGCUCAACCUGGGACCUGCAUUUGUGACUGUAUAGCUAGAGUACGGUAGAGGGGGAUGGAAUUCCGCGUGUAGCAGUGAAAUGCGUAGAUAUGCGGAGGAACACCGAUGGCGAAGGCAAUCCCCUGGACCUGUACUGACGCUCAUGCACGAAAGCGUGGGGAGCAAACA
rnacentral:rRNA from 1 species